CCUUCUUUUUCCCGCUUUUUCCGGAUUUACUGGGCGUAAAGAGCGCGCAGGCGGUCGAAUAAGUCGAAUGUGAAAGCCCCCGGCUUAACUGGGGAGGGUCAUUCGAUACUGCUCGACUUGAAGGCAGGAGAGGGUAGUGGAAUUCCCGGUGUAGUGGUGAAAUGCGUAGAUAUCGGGAGGAACACCAGUGGCGAAGGCGACUACCUGGCCUGUUCUUGACGCUGAGGCGCGAAAGCUGGGGGGGCAAACGGGA
rnacentral:rRNA from 1 species